UUUACACAUGUUUGGUGCAAGUGUCGGCUGUUUGUAAAUAUUGACAUUGCGUGAGAAGUGGAAAGUCAUAAUGAGCGAGUCAGAAGGGAAGAAAGAAGAGGCAGAAACAAAGAAAAUUAUCCAUACGUAUCCAUUAGUAAGGCACUGCGAUAUGAUUGACGAGAUGAGAGGGGAAGCAAUGGAACUUUGUGUAACAGCAUGUGAGAAGCAUGCUGCGAACAACGAAUGAUGAAUCUUUUCUUUCCACUCGAGCUUUGAGUCACAGCUUAUUGUCUUCUCGACAACAAUAUGGCUGCUCGCAUGAUUAAAGAGGCAAUGGAUAAAAAGUUUGGACCAUCCUGGCAUGCUGUUGUUGGUGAAGGCUAUGGCUUUGAAAUAUCUUAUGAGUGCAAGAAUCUUUUGUACAUGUUUUUUGGUGGUAAUGUUGGUGUCUGUGUUUGGAAAUGCUCUUGAAUCUCCAUAAUAUACAUGUACUUGACUGACUGGUGGUGGUGGUGGUGGUGGUGGUGGUGUAGCCCUUGAUUUAUCAAUUGUGCAUGAAUAAAAGUUUCCGGCUGUCAACUUGUGGAGAGAUGAAGCGCUUACCAUUAAGCAAAACAGAGUAAUUACAAAGUGGAUUUUGCUAAUAACAGGAGAUGAGUGCCAAAAGAAUAGUCUCAAAACAGAAAUAUUUGUCAAUAGCACAAAUGGAAAAAUAUACUGAACCCCCACUUUUGGGCAUGGCAGCAAGAAUUUUAGAAUGAAAUGUAAGAAGGGGAAAAGUAAAGCAAAAAUUAAAAUGUGGCAUUUUGUUAGAAACAGUUACACUGAACGACUUGUUAUUUCUACACAGAUUAAUUUAUUCUCAUGCCACAUUUUUACUUUGUCUUUCUCCAUUACUUUUCCUUUAUAAGCACGUACUGAUCUCCUGUCUGGAUUGUUGCUGAUAUUUGUACCAGACUGCUUUGAGAGAAGAAAUAGUUUGGUGUGUGCAUGGUAUUAAAGAAUAUCUUUGUGAUAUCCUCUUUUUUAAGACAAUACAAAGAUAUCUAUCUUACAACAGACUUUUCCCUCCAUUACUGUUGCAACUUGUCUAUUAACUAUAGUUUCUAUCUUGUUGAAAACUAUUGCAGGUUUAAUGCAUUUAGCACACACUGUACAGAAUGAAUAUAUCUGCACUCUAUUAUUAUAUAUUAUUAUUAUUAUAUUAACAAUGGAAAUGAGUUACUUGUGCAUUAUUAACAGCAUUUGUUAACAGUACAAAUAUUACUCUUUUGGUACAGCCAUUUCAUUUUGUUCGCUAUGUUACUUAUAGGAGGCUGGUAUCAGUGCAUGAUCUAUGAAUAUAUUUUGGUAAACAGCAUAUUUUAUUUUACAUUUAUUUGUAAUUAUCCUUAAUAUUUACCUAUCAGUUAUGUUAUUGUUGAGGUAAUUGUAUGGUAAGGAUAUGUAAGUAUAUUUUACAUUAUGUAACUACCUGAUACAUUUUGUAUAAAUAAUUAUUUUCCUGUUGUGGUGAAAUUUUCUAAUGAAGCUCCUCCUGAAAAAGGUGGGGAGGGGAGAAAGCACAGGAAUGCAACAUUGCCUAAAGACAUAAGUUUAUAUGUAAGUGGUAGACAUCACAAGGAAAAUACAACCACAAAGUAUAAUGUACUGCAAAGGUAACGAAAGCAUUGAAUCUGCAAGGUAGUGAUUUUAUGUUCAAUGAAGAAGGAGGAAGCAUUAAUAAAUUAGUUUUUAAAAAGCAGAUAUGUUGCUGCAGUGCACAAAUUAGUAGCUCAUUAUGUCUUUAAUGUUGUUAUUAAUGAUAAUGGAACUUACUGGUUGGAAUAGUUAGAAAAAGAGCCAGAGCUUAAAUGCUUAUGUUACAUAAUCUCAUUAUUAAUACUUUCUGAAGCCAUAAAAUCUUUUCUUGAGAUAACAAGGCUGGUAUUGAGAAAGUAAGUUAAUAUGAAGUAAACCUUAAUCAUGCAGAGAUAGCAUUGAUUCAAUGAAAAGAAUAUAAUUUCCUCAAGGGUCUGAGUUAGCCUGUUACUUAAAUGUUCCAUGUACUUUGGAGAUGCAUGAGCAUGAGCAAUAAAAUUAUAUCAAGGGAUUUAAUGUUAUCAACAAACAAAGAAAAGUUUCAGCGACUGACGUGUACUGACUGUUCUGGACAUUGUCAACAUCAGCUGAUGGUGCUGUUCUGAAGAUGGCCUAAGACUAGGCCAAAACUGCUCAUUUUAAAUAAAAUAACCAUCACAAUUUAAACUGUUUUUUUUUUUCAACUAUUUUAUAAACAAAAUUUGUAUCUGUUUGAGAUUCAGAGUGCAAAAGCCCUAGAAGAUGGUUCUUGUGACAUGUAAGAUGUUUUCUUAUCUCACUGAUAUAUUGCCAUAUUUCGUAAGUGCGUUUUCAUGUUUGCAGUUAGAAAGAUAAAUCUUGAUACAAAGAGCAGCAGUCAAACAUCUUAGUUUGGUGUAGCUAUGAAAUAAUGUUUGAAGAAGUUGGUUUGGCAAUAAUUGAAUUGACUUUGUUAUUGUAUGUAAUGAUAGUUAGUUAAUAUGCUCAUUAUCAAAGCUGAUUUUCAUUACAAUUUCUUGUUAACAUUAUGACCUUCAUUCCUUCUCUUGUAUGUCUACUACUAUACUUGUGUUCUGUGUAAAGCUGCACAUUUUGUACAUGUUUAUGUGCAUAUUUUUAUAAGAUUUUAAAAGAACUGAAUCAAUUAGACAUUGAUUUGUUAACAUCAAGAAAGAGUGUAAAAUGACUGUCAACCAUAUAAGUGAAAGACUCUUAAGUUUUUCUAUGCAUAUAUGAACACAGGAAUAUGUGUCUACUCUCCUCUCCUCUACCCCACAUCUCUUGCAUAGAGACUUGUAUACUCCAGUGUUGAAGUCCAUGCAAGAGUAAUGUACAUCACUAAAUAUUGACUUCUAGGUGGAAAAAUGGAACAGAGUAUAUUAAUAUAAAGCAACUUUUGGGAUGCAAAUGGUUAGGAGAAAAAAUUGAUGAUCUUACAAGAAAGUGUCAGUGGAAGUCUCAGUGUUUUGGAUAGGUAAUGCUUCCCUUCAAUUGCUGUUCAUUCCAGAAAUCCAACAGGAUCUCCAGUCCCUUCUUAGAUUCUUAGGCCCACCCCAGAACCUCUCCCCUGAGUCUAUUUGUCUCUGCACCCCUGCCGCUCCCUGCACUCCUAUCAUCUACAUGCUUCCUGAAGUCCAUAAACCAACCACCCAGGAUGCCCUGUUGUGGCUAGUUACUGUGUCCCACUGAGAGAAUCUCUGUUCACUUGGACCAGCACCUUCACCCUUUGCCCAUAACGUAACAUCAUGAUAUGGACAGAGGGAGAGGACAUGCUCUUUACAUUCCUCCCAGAACCUCAACACCUUCUUCCCCAUUUGCUUCAUCUGGUCCUCAGUCGAACAGAGUCCACCUGCCUUAGUGUUGACUUCCACCUCAAGGAUGGCUACAUUGUCAGUGCCUCUGUCCAUAGCAAACCUACCAACCACCAACAGUACCUCCUCUUCGGCAGCUGCACCAAUUCCAUACAAGAAGUCCCUUCACAGGCUAGACACCCAUGGCCAUUGCAUCUGUAGUGAUGGGCAGUCCCUCUUGAAAUAUAACAAAUAAACAUAACAAAAUUACCCUCCCACUGUUGUAAUGAAACAGAUGUCCCAUGUCUUAUCUCUCCAAGUCACCUCUCGCAUUCCCACUGUGCUGCCACAAAGGAGCACUCCUCCCGUGACUCAGGGCCACCAAGGACUGGAGCAACUGAUCAUAUUCUCCACCAGGGUUUCAGCUCUGAAUUGAAGAACAUCCUACCCACUAUUUUCCCAUCCCUACUACACUGGUAUUCUGCAGCCCACCAAAUUUAGUAGGCAAUAUCGUUGCCCAUCCCUACUCCACCCCAGCUUCCAACCCCUUGCCUUAUGGCCUGUAUCCCUGUAAUAGAUCUACCUGCACGGCCUGUCCCAUACAUCCUCCCACCAGUAGCUACUCCAGUCUGCAUCUCUUAUUCCAUCAGAGGUAGGGCCACCUGUGAAAGCAGUCAUGUGAUCGUCAAACUAAGCUGCAACCUCUAUGCUGCUUUCUACAUGGGCAUGACAAACAACAAGGUGUCUGUGUGUAGGAGUGUCAACUGACAAACUGUGGCCAAGAGACAGCUGUAACUCAAGCACCACAUACUACACAGCCUUCUGUUGUACCAACGCACCCACCAAUCUUUUUUCCCCUCCUCUACUUGUCCCCUUCUCUCCUUUUUUCCACAUCCAGCAGCAUGACACUCUCUCCACUACAUCCCUGCACACUUCCACAAGUAGCAUUAAACUUCUCUCACCCAUAACCUCCUAUCCCUCCACCUCCUCACCCUCGCCUCCUCCAUACCCCACCACCCUCAUGAGAUGAGGCACUGCUGCAGUCCGCACACCGGCCUCAGUGGCCAGAAACAGUGACUGGGUGUCUGAUUUGUGCUUGUGAGAAUGUUUGUUUUCUAAUGCAGAAGAAGGCAUUUUGGCUGAAAGCCGGAAUGUAUGGCAGUCUUUUCAUUGUAGCUGUCUGUGACUCAGUGUCUCUUCUGUAGGGUGAGUAGCAAUGUAUUCUUUUCAUAAUAUUUUCAGCAUUUCACUUGUCUCGUACAUCUUGUGUGCUAUGUAGUGUACCAUGGCUGUUCUCCCAGGAAUAUCAAUGAAUUGGGGGGAAUGUUGUGUACUUCUGAUCCUUUUCCUUUAGGUUUACUUGGGUCUCAUAAUGAUCUGUCACAUUCUUCUUGCAGUAUUACAUCUGUCAAUUUAUCUUUAUCUACUUCCUCUUGCCUUUCCGUAAUACAAUCUUCAAUUUUCUGUCCUUUGUAUAGCCCUCCUUUAUUUGUUUGCCGGGAGAACUCUUGACAUUCACACAGCUGCUUUUCUCUAAACGUUUCUUCAUUUUUU